UUCUUCUAAAAGAAUGGUGUCUUAAACAUUUACUGAUACAUCAUUCUUCUAUUUCAGUUCAAGGACUCCAUCCUGGAUAAAGCAAUUCACAGUCAACAUACCAAGGACUAGGACUUGGUAAUAGCAUAAAGUAUAAGAGGAGAGGACGGCAAUGGCCAGCUUAUAAAGGCCUUGGUAAAAAAAGUCAUCCCCCUGGCUUGAACUCAGAGCCUCCUCUGCUAUGUGGCCCUGCACGAACUACGGGCCUCCUCUGUAGCCGUGCCGUUUCCAGUGGGAGCCACUGAUUGGCUCUGCAACAGUUCCAGAACCUGCAUUUCUGCCUCUUUUCGGUAGUGGUGGCAAUGACACAAUAAGAUGUCCCCAAAAUCUGUCCAAGAAGCAGAAAUGAACAAAUAUUUUUGGAAUGGUAAGCAAGCAUAUUAUUUAAUUCACUGAGCAGCUAGAGUUCAUAAAGUAAACCUCCCCAACUAGAGUGGUAAACAACAUCAAGUGUGUCAUCGGCAUUUAUGAGAAAUUAUGAUGAGAUAGAUUGGGAUAUAGAAAGCCAGACAUUUAAGAAAAUUGCUUCUUAAAAGCUUCCAUCUCUCACCAAAAGAGUUGCUUUUUCGGUCAAAAGUCAUGUAAAACUAUGAGUUUCCAAAUUUGUGUAAUUGAAAAAAAGUUCAAUUUUAAUUUCAGCUGAAAGCUGUGCUUAUUCUGACACUGCCAAAAUCCUUAUUGCCAUGGAUUUGAGAGACUGAAGAAAACAGCUCUUAAAUGACAUUUUGCUGAAUUUUUUUCUAAAGGGAUUUUACUCUUCAGUGAUUUUUUUGCCAGGUGUUAUGCACAUUUAUUUUGAGCAGAUGUUCCGUUGCUUGCUUUUCUCAAAUGUCAUAGCAACUCUGGGCAACUCUCCCUAAAAUUAUUUAUUUUUUCUGGCC
rnacentral:lncRNA from 1 species